rnacentral:snRNA from 1 species
UCUCUGAGCGGGCUGGGGAGACACCAUGAUCAAGAAGGCGGUUCACCCAGGGCGAGGCCCGUCCAUUGCACUCCGGCCGUGCUGACCCCUACGAAUUCCCCAAAUGUGGGAAUCUCGACUGCAUAAGUUAUGGUAGUGGGGGACUGCGUUCGCGCUCCCCCCUG